GUAUGUACAUACACUUUACCACGUUUUUAGGAGAAAUAAAUAAGAACAAUAAAACUCAAAAUCAUGACACUUUUUAAUAAAAAAAAUAUCGAUUCAUUUUCUAGUAUUUUCACAAAUAUUGUAAAUGAAAGAGAGAAGGCAAUACUUGUGCCGUUACUUCGCCGACAAAAUGCAAGCUAACGGUUGCCUUGCCAAUGACAGGUGAUGAAGCAAGACAGAGAGGGGGGACAAAAAAAAACGAGACAGAGAAAUAAUGCGGGCUGUAGGCACUUUUAUGCAUUCUCUGUCUAUUUUUUUUCAUUCGUUUUGGGAUAUAUUAAGGGAGAAGAUAAAUGAAAUUGGCACAUACACAAAUAAAGUCAUUGGUGUAGAUGGUGUACAUACAUACGUAUGUAUUGGUCAUAGGUUAAAUACUCAUUUUUGCAUAUUUCGGUUUUUCACAAGUAAAAGAAAAUCAAUGAACUCUAAGUUGCAAUUUUCCCUGGUUUCUUCCCUUUUUUUUUCUUUUUUUUUUAGGAUUUUUCAGCGAUUUUUACUUUUAAAUGGAUGAGUUGUGUUGCACUUUUUUGCGAUUCGUCGCUGAUUUUUCCUCCAUUUGAUUUGUGAAACUUUCACCAGAAACAAGUCAACAACAACUGUGCCAGAGCAAAAUGAUUAAAUUUUUCUACACACUUUUAUGUACCUGUUUUCUCCUUUUUUUUUUUUUUCAUAUGAGUGAGUUAGAGAGUGUUUGUGUGUUUGUCUGUAUAUGCUUUCCCAGGUCUUCGAAAAUUAAAAACCAAAUGCCAGCUGACGUAAUCACACAGCAUAACAAAUAAGAAAACAGAAAAUAAAAGAUUCGGUGUAUAAAACAAAAGUUUUGUGAAUUGGGCGCGCGUGUGUCUCCGUCGUCAAGUUGAGUCAAUCAACAAAUACACACGGACACUACAUAGUCAGAUGUGCACACGAAACGACAGUAAAAUCUCCUCAAAACAAACGCGAGAGUUAUUUCAUCUAUCUAAAAGAAGUAAACACAAUUCCAAAAGAUCUUUUUGAUCUUGUAGAUAGUUUCUAGAUCUACUAUUUCUGUUGUCUUUGAUGUUACAUAAAAUUCAUAAAAUUUGGGCGUCACAAUAAAUACAAUCCCAGGAUUUACUGUAGAUCUAUACGUACAUACAUAUGUAUGUAUGUACAUAAUUGUGAAUUGUUAAGCAGUUGUCGCACAAUCAGAAAAAUAGCAAAGCAAAGUGAGCAAAACAGAGACACUGAUAGAUAAAGAAGAAGAGGUGAAAAAAGAUUGAAAAAAUCACGAACAAACAUAUGAAGGGAUAUGUUAUCGAACACGUUAAAAGGCAAGAUUUAAAAGAAUUUUAUACGAUUUCAAUCAUCUGGGUCAACCGAAAAAGAUAAGAGAAAUUAUUUGAUAAAUAUCGAAAUCUGCUUUUUUCCCUCUACAUUUUCUGCAUACCCCCCUAAUUAGACUUUAAUUCGGCAUUUCCGAUCAGAAAUUCUAUAAAAACGCGUAAUCAAUUAGAAAAAAGAAGACGGAACGAAUGGAAAGCAUAACUAGUUAGAAUGUUUAAAAGCUUUACGAGAUGAAACCAGGCAAAUACCUUAAAUAUGCGACAAGCUUUCGACGUUUAUCUGUUUGCCUUUGCUUGACGUUGGCCUUUUGUUGUUUCCCUUUUGAUAACAAACGGCGAGUAUGACAAAUAAAACAAAAGAAACCUACAAAAAAACAUUGAGAACGAGAAUCAACAAAUUAACAUGCCGCGAAUGUAGAAACACAACAAUGGCGAAAAAAACAUAGAGAACGUCAUGUGGGAGAGGCGAAGAGGUCCAAAAACAAAACAGCACAAUGAAAAGUGGAGAGCAACAGUGUUGCUCAAUAUAAUUAUUUGUGCUACAUUUGGAAUAAAUAUUUAUAAAAUAUGGAUGGAUUUGGAAGCUCAUAUCUUAUGUAGAGCUUUCAAAUAAAAAUUAUAUCGAUCUGGCGGGGAAAACCGUUGAACUGACAGCACUGUUACUCUCGCAGAGUCGUCUAAUUAUGCUGAACCAACAAAUACAACUAUAACAAGAACAGGCAAAUGAGGUGUGAGAAGGGGAUAAGAGAGAAAGAGAGCGACCCAGUCAGUGUAAAAGACGGCGACCCACGACAACAAAAAACGCAGCGAGUGACGAAGAACGAGUUGCUCUCGCCUCCUCUAUUUUUCACACCCUCCCCGACCUUUUUUUUGUGGAUAACUUAAAAACAGUUUAAUUUACUAUUUGAGCAAACGCGAAAUGCAAAAACAAUCAGCACACACAUCCAUACACAUCCAUACACAUACAAACAUUGGGAAAUAAAGAAAUGGAACAAAAAAAAAAUGAACGGACACAAAAGAAAGAGUGGCGGAAUAAAAUAAAUAAAAGGCAACUGACGUUUGACGACGUGUCGUCGUUUUCGUUUUGCGUUUUUGUUCGCCGUUUGCCUUCCUUGCUUCUUGCGCUCUACUCUUUGGUUUGCGCUUCGUUUCGGCUGCGCGUAUUUUUCGUUUCAGUUAUUAUUGAGACUAAAAAUGCGGCGUGAGAUUUGAUUGUGAGUAAGCGCAACGCAAAGUGCAAAUCGUCAAAGCGACAGCGCUGGCAGUGGCAGCGACGUCGGCAGAGUACGGUUUGCACAAAAAAAUAUAUAAAACUGUAGUAAUAAUAAUAAAAGACCACAGAAAAGAAAAUUCGCACAAAAUAAAAACUCACGAAUGACGGACGGAAAGCAAAAGACGAAAAGUUGAAUACCCUAUCAAAUCCUCAGUGAAAACUUUACAAUGUCAAAGUUCAAUAAAUAAAUGUCGAAAAUUAAUUGUAAA